AUUGAACGCUGGCGGUAGGCCUAACACAUGCAAGUCGAGCGGAUGAAGGGAGCUUGCUCCUGGAUUCAGCGGCGGACGGGUGAGUAAUGCCUAGGAAUCUGCCUGGUAGUGGGGGAUAACGUCCGGAAACGGGCGCUAAUACCGCAUACGUCCUGAGGGAGAAAGUGGGGGAUCUUCGGACCUCACGCUAUCAGAUGAGCCUAGGUCGGAUUAGCUAGUUGGUGGGGUAAAGGCCUACCAAGGCGACGAUCCGUAACUGGUCUGAGAGGAUGAUCAGUCACACUGGAACUGAGACACGGUCCAGACUCCUACGGGAGGCAGCAGUGGGGAAUAUUGGGCAAUGGGCGAAAGCCUGAUCCAGCCAUGCCGCGUGUGUGAAGAAGGUCUUCGGAUUGUAAAGCACUUUAAGUUGGGAGGAAGGGCAGUAAGUUAAUACCUUGCUGUUUUGACGUUACCAACAGAAUAAGCACCGGCUAACUUCGUG
rnacentral:rRNA from 1 species